AACGAACGCUGGCGGCGUGGAUAAGACAUGCAAGUCGAACGGGAUUUUUUCCUGUAGCAAUACAGGAAAAGUCUAGUGGCGAACGGGUGCGUAACACGUGAGCAACCUGCCGUGAAGUGGGGGAUAGCUCGCCGAAAGGCGAAUUAAUACCGCAUGUGGCCAAGGAAGACAUCUUCCUGACGCCAAAGCCGGGGCAACCUGGCGCUUCUCGAGGGGCUCGCGGCCUAUCAGCUUGUUGGUGAGGUAACGGCUCACCAAGGCUAUGACGGGUAGCUGGUCGGAGAGGACGAACAGCCACACUGGAACUGAGACACGUUCCAGACACCGACGGGUGGCAGCAGUCGAGAAUUUUUCACAAUGGGGGAAACCCUGAUGGAGCGACGCCGCGUGGAGGAUGAAGGUUUUCGGAUUGUAAACUCCUGUCAUUAGAGAACAAGGCACACGGUUUAACUGGCCGUGUGUUGAUAGUAUCUGAAGAGGAAGAGACGGCUAACUCUGUGCCAGCCGCCGCCGUAAUAC
rnacentral:rRNA from 1 species